rnacentral:rRNA from 1 species
AGCGUACACGGUGGAUGCCCUGGCAGUCAGAGGCGAUGAAGGACGUGCUAAUCUGCGAUAAGCGUCGGUAAGGUGAUAUGAACCGUUAUAACCGGCGAUUUCCGAAUGGGGAAACCCAGUGUGUUUCGACACACUAUCAUUAACUGAAUCCAUAGGUUAAUGAGGCGAACCGGGGGAACUGAAACAUCUAAGUACCCCGAGGAAAAGAAAUCAACCGAGAUUCCCCCAGUAGCGGCGAGCGAACGGGGAGCAGCCCAGAGCCUGAAUCAGUGUGUGUGUUAGUGGAAGCGUCUGGAAAGGCGCGCGAUACAGGGUGACAGCCCCGUACACAAAAAUGCACAUAUUGUGAGCUCGAUGAGUAGGGCGGGACACGUGGUAUCCUGUCUGAAUAUGGGGGGACCAUCCUCCAAGGCUAAAUACUCCUGACUGACCGAUAGUGAACCAGUACCGUGAGGGAAAGGCGAAAAGAACCCCGGCGAGGGGAGUGAAAAAGAACCUGAAACCGUGUACGUACAAGCAGUGGGAGCCUCUUUUAUGGGGUGACUGCGUACCUUUUGUAUAAUGGGUCAGCGACUUAUAUUCUGUAGCAAGGUUAACCGAAUAGGGGAGCCGAAGGGAAACCGAGUCUUAACUGGGCGUUAAGUUGCAGGGUAUAGACCCGAAACCCGGUGAUCUAGCCAUGGGCAGGUUGAAGGUUGGGUAACACUAACUGGAGGACCGAACCGACUAAUGUUGAAAAAUUAGCGGAUGACUUGUGGCUGGGGGUGAAAGGCCAAUCAAACCGGGAGAUAGCUGGUUCUCCCCGAAAGCUAUUUAGGUAGCGCCUCGUGAAUUCAUCUCCGGGGGUAGAGCACUGUUUCGGCAAGGGGGUCAUCCCGACUUACCAACCCGAUGCAAACUGCGAAUACCGGAGAAUGUUAUCACGGGAGACACACGGCGGGUGCUAACGUCCGUCGUGAAGAGGGAAACAACCCAGACCGCCAGCUAAGGUCCCAAAGUCAUGGUUAAGUGGGAAACGAUGUGGGAAGGCCCAGACAGCCAGGAUGUUGGCUUAGAAGCAGCCAUCAUUUAAAGAAAGCGUAAUAGCUCACUGGUCGAGUCGGCCUGCGCGGAAGAUGUAACGGGGCUAAACCAUGCACCGAAGCUGCGGCAGCGACACUGUGUGUUGUUGGGUAGGGGAGCGUUCUGUAAGCCUGUGAAGGUGUGCUGUGAGGCAUGCUGGAGGUAUCAGAAGUGCGAAUGCUGACAUAAGUAACGAUAAAGCGGGUGAAAAGCCCGCUCGCCGGAAGACCAAGGGUUCCUGUCCAACGUUAAUCGGGGCAGGGUGAGUCGACCCCUAAGGCGAGGCCGAAAGGCGUAGUCGAUGGGAAACAGGUUAAUAUUCCUGUACUUGGUGUUACUGCGAAGGGGGGACGGAGAAGGCUAUGUUGGCCGGGCGACGGUUGUCCCGGUUUAAGCGUGUAGGCUGGUUUUCCAGGCAAAUCCGGAAAAUCAAGGCUGAGGCGUGAUGACGAGGCACUACGGUGCUGAAGCAACAAAUGCCCUGCUUCCAGGAAAAGCCUCUAAGCAUCAGGUAACAUCAAAUCGUACCCCAAACCGACACAGGUGGUCAGGUAGAGAAUACCAAGGCGCUUGAGAGAACUCGGGUGAAGGAACUAGGCAAAAUGGUGCCGUAACUUCGGGAGAAGGCACGCUGAUAUGUAGGUGAAGCGACUUGCUCGUGGAGCUGAAAUCAGUCGAAGAUACCAGCUGGCUGCAACUGUUUAUUAAAAACACAGCACUGUGCAAACACGAAAGUGGACGUAUACGGUGUGACGCCUGCCCGGUGCCGGAAGGUUAAUUGAUGGGGUCAGCGCAAGCGAAGCUCUUGAUCGAAGCCCCGGUAAACGGCGGCCGUAACUAUAACGGUCCUAAGGUAGCGAAAUUCCUUGUCGGGUAAGUUCCGACCUGCACGAAUGGCGUAAUGAUGGCCAGGCUGUCUCCACCCGAGACUCAGUGAAAUUGAACUCGCUGUGAAGAUGCAGUGUACCCGCGGCAAGACGGAAAGACCCCGUGAACCUUUACUAUAGCUUGACACUGAACAUUGAGCCUUGAUGUGUAGGAUAGGUGGGAGGCUUAGAAGUGUGGACGCCAGUCUGCAUGGAGCCGACCUUGAAAUACCACCCUUUAAUGUUUGAUGUUCUAACGUUGACCCGUAAUCCGGGUUGCGGACAGUGUCUGGUGGGUAGUUUGACUGGGGCGGUCUCCUCCUAAAGAGUAACGGAGGAGCACGAAGGUUGGCUAAUCCUGGUCGGACAUCAGGAGGUUAGUGCAAUGGCAUAAGCCAGCUUGACUGCGAGCGUGACGGCGCGAGCAGGUGCGAAAGCAGGUCAUAGUGAUCCGGUGGUUCUGAAUGGAAGGGCCAUCGCUCAACGGAUAAAAGGUACUCCGGGGAUAACAGGCUGAUACCGCCCAAGAGUUCAUAUCGACGGCGGUGUUUGGCACCUCGAUGUCGGCUCAUCACAUCCUGGGGCUGAAGUAGGUCCCAAGGGUAUGGCUGUUCGCCAUUUAAAGUGGUACGCGAGCUGGGUUUAGAACGUCGUGAGACAGUUCGGUCCCUAUCUGCCGUGGGCGCUGGAGAACUGAGGGGGGCUGCUCCUAGUACGAGAGGACCGGAGUGGACGCAUCACUGGUGUUCGGGUUGUCAUGCCAAUGGCACUGCCCGGUAGCUAAAUGCGGAAGAGAUAAGUGCUGAAAGCAUCUAAGCACGAAACUUGCCCCGAGAUGAGUUCU